GAUGAACGCUGGCGGCGUGCCUAAUACAUGCAAGUCGAGCGAACAGAUGAGGAGCUUGCUCCUCUGACGUUAGCGGCGGACGGGUGAGUAACACGUGGAUAACCUACCUAUAAGACUGGGAUAACUUCGGGAAACCGGAGCUAAUACCGGAUAAUAUAUUGAACCGCAUGGUUCAAUAGUGAAAGACGGUUUUGCUGUCACUUAUAGAUGGAUCCGCGCCGCAUUAGCUAGUUGGUAAGGUAACGGCUUACCAAGGCGACGAUGCGUAGCCGACCUGAGAGGGUGAUCGGCCACACUGGAACUGAGACACGGUCCAGACUCCCACGGGAGGCAGCAGUAGGGAAUCUUCCGCAAAGGGCGAAAGCCUGACGGAGCAACGCCGCGUGAGUGAUGAAGGUCUUCGGAUCGUAAAACUCUGUUAUUAGGGAAGAACAAAUGUGUAAGUAACUAUGCACGUCUUGACGGUACCUAAUCAGAAAGCCACGGCUAACUACGUG
rnacentral:rRNA from 1 species